rnacentral:rRNA from 1 species
CCUACGGGUGGCAGCAGUGAGGAAUAUUGGUCAAUGGCCGGAAGGCUGAACCAGCCAUGCCGCGUGAAGGUCAGUGCCCUAUGGGCGUUUAACCUUCUUUGUGCGGGAGCAAUAAUGGUCACGUGUGGCCAGACGAGAGUACCGUACGAAUAAGCAUCGGCUAACUCCGUGCCAGCAGCCGCGGUAAUACGGGGGAUGUAAGCGUUAUCCGGAUUUAUUGGGUUUAAAGGGUGCGUAGGCUGGGAGGUAAGUCAGCGGUGAAAUGCCCCCGCUCAACGGGGUGAAGUGCCAUUGAUACUGGCGUGCUGGAAUGCGGAUGCUGUGGGAGGAAUGUGUGGUGUAGCGGUGAAAUGCAUAGAUAUCACGCAGAACACCGAUUGCGAAGGCAUCUCACGAAUCCGCGAUUGACGCUGAUGCACGAAAGCGUGGGUAUCAAACAGGAUUAGAUACCCGAGUAGUC